UACGGAAGGUCCGGGCGUUAUCCGGAUUUAUUGGGUUUAAAGGGAGCGCAGGCGGACCUUUAAGUCAGCUGUGAAAUACGGCGGCUCAACCGUCGAACUGCAGUUGAUACUGGAGGUCUUGAGUGCACACAGGGAUGUUGGAAUUCAUGGUGUAGCGGUGAAAUGCUCAGAUAUCAUGAAGAACUCCGAUCGCGAAGGCAGGCAUCCGGGGUGCAACUGACGCUGAGGCUCGAAAGUGCGGGUAUCAAACAGG
rnacentral:rRNA from 1 species